GCUGUAGACCAUGAUCCGGUCCAUGUAUAGUUGACCAGAGGGACGCGUCAUGACGUUACGGAGCGGGAGCCGCAAGAUUAGGGCAAGAGAUGGCGUUGUAACCAAGGACAGCACCAAAAGGAGAUGUAAGAAUGACCGAGUGAGGACAGUAGAUACAUUUACCACCAUUCUGACAGCAGACUUACGCAAGGCCUGUUUCAAGAUCAGGGACGUGGCUGUCACUGAGGUUGUCCAAGACAGACCCGAUGCUAUACUACUGUUGAAAAAGACAAAGCAGUUUUGUUUGGCAUGGCUAAGUAUUGACUGACACUGUCAAAACGGUGUGACUUAUUUCUUGCCUGUUGUCUGAGAAACAGUAAUGCCAGUCAUUGGACAUGUGACAGUGACAGCUUAAUUGCCAAAAUAGGAACAAAAAUUUGAUGUCGAGCCAAGGACAACACAAAGUUGGCACCAUAUUGGAUUUACAGACCGACUGUACAAACUUGGCAACAGCAAAAUAAGCCAGUGACAGCAAGGACGAGUCUGUGACAGUAUGCCUAGCCACAUAUCUGCCUCUGCUAUAAUGAUAAUGAAAGGAUGAAUGCCAGCAGGAUGACUAAGUGACAGAAACUUUCAUGUGUAAUAGCCUUAAGAAUUUAUGAUCGUCCUAAUGGUUUUAGCCUUCUGUUUCAGCGUGGUUUUAAGAUUGAAAGACCGGGAUGUCACAGAGGUCUGGAAAAACUAUGGCUAACUGGGGUGCACUUGCAUCUGGAACACCUGCUGUGAAAGAGGGCUGGGGACACACCAAGAAUAAUAUUCUUUCCAGCCAUGUUGCCAGUGCCACAAAGAACAGAACUGAAGUUGGUUCCAGUUUAAAUAUGAACUUGAAUUAUCAGAGGCUGUCAUGUUUCAUGAGAAAUACACUGUGCUGUGAAGCAUGCAUUUUGAAAUGAUUCCUUUUGCCUGUGAUCUGAGCCUGUGCGAGACAAUGAUGCAGAUCAUAGAACUCGGUGUGACGGUGACAGCUGGUUAGGAAGAAGACUGUCAAUACAUGUGUAAAAAAAUUCAGAACAAAAUUUGGCUUCAGUCGAGAUGUCCCUGCAGUGAAAAGCUUGAGGUGUUACCAAUUCUUGACUGAUUAUCUGGAGAUGGUGUUGAGUAUCAUCACAUUAAUACACCAUCCAAGGCAUUUUGUGAUGAAUAACAGCAGUAGUUCCCUCUGUGGACUGAAGGUAGGUUGGCCUAAACAAGGCAUAAGAAACUGGACAACAACGCACCAAUUCUCAACAUUUUAUCUUGCUAAAUGUAUGUAACAAGUUACUGCCAACUAUUCACAGAGUCUGAGCAAACGUGAUGGUUGAUUUUGUUUAGAAAAAGUUCUUAAUGAAAACUGGUCCUUUCCAGCUCCUCCAUGAGAAGGCACAGACUGGAAAAGAGAAAAGCUGCCGCACCAUCGUCCUGGUAGCAAGCUAAGCUUUGGUUCACCAGUUAUACAGAACAUGCAGGACAUUGUGAACACUGAGAAUAUAACGAAGAACUGAGUGGCGCCGAAAAUCACUGAAGAUUUACUUUUUCAGCUAAGAAUGACUUUGUAGGCCUAAAGGUUUAGAAGUUAUACCUAAAUUGAAGGUGACCUUCUCAAGCGAGGAACCAACGUCUUGGUAUUGCAGCCACUGUAGCUUAGGUAGUAUAGUGACCUACAUGAAGUUGUUUUUAGUUAUUAAAGUCCAUGGGGUUAGUCGCAUUUAACCUGGACUCUGUUGGACUGGGUGAACGUGAUAAAAUAAUUAAGACCGAUUUACAAAUGAAAUGAAGAAUCUGCAUUUUGGUGCAACUGCAUUUCUUGCUUUGAAGCAAUAUUUUGUGGCAAUGUUCAGGUCUUUUCUUCGCGGGCAAAUCUGCAUACCAGUAAUUAUGUGCAGACUUGGCUCUUCCAGAGAUUGUAGGACUGGGUCCAUUGAAUGUAACAAAAAUAAUCGAUGCCUAUUUACAAAUGAAAUGAAGAGUCUGCAUUUUGAUGCAACUCCAUAUAACUGUCGGGUGAUUUCGCUCUGAACUUGUGACACUCUGAUCGGUCUGAAAUAAUCAUUAUCCCGCCCCUCUGGGAAAAAUUUGCAGCCAGAUUGCACCAUUUCCUGUUACCGUCUGAGAGAUGGCGAUGUCAGGGGCGCAUGACGGUGGUUAAACCUAUUGCGAAUGGGCAGCACAAUUGGGUGUAGGAUAUUCAUAAACCAUUGCACACUCCUGAAUCUGCGGUGGGUUGGUACCCCACGCUACGUAAGGAGUAGGUUUCUGGGUAAGACUUGGUCCUCGUGAAUAGGUCGUGCCUUAAAAAUGAUGAGAAGUUGCGAAUUGACGCCCUGUGAAGUGUCCUUCGACCAGCUAGUGCUAAUCCGGUCACUGUCUCCAGGUCACCAUGCCUCGGUCAAUGAGUGGGCGAAGCACCCAAUGGCUCCGUCAGGAGUACAUCGUCAACUUCAGCCCGUAGUCAAACCGGUACGCGCACAAAUAUCUUAGCUGAGAGUGGGGGACAUCAGUAAGUGCUUCUAAUCGGGGUAAUACAGUAUUGACCCCAUUUUUUGUUGGAUUCAUUUCCACCGAGGAGUGGUCGAUAAUGAGAAUUUCAGGCCAGUCUGAUUAUCACCAGUACAGAGGGCAAUUAUCUAAUAGUUGUGUGGCAUUCCUUCAAACUGUUUACUCUUUCGUGUCAUUUAUAAAUUCAUGUUGAUCAUUUUACCUCACAUCUCAUGGGCAGAAAGAAGAGUCUGGUGGAGUCCUGAUGCUCCCUGAUGUUGGUUUCACUCUGGUCAGUUUCGUGAUUCCUUUUACCACAAGCAGACCCAUUUAGGCCUACAACCUGUCAUUGUUGUAAAUUUCAA